GGCCCUAAGGUGCAAAACACAACGGCAAAUCAGAAAACAAAACACAAAAAGAGAAAACACAAUGGUUAAUGUCAUUGUGUUUUCUGAUUUGCUGUUUUGUUUUGCACCUCAGGGCC